CGGUAACCAUUGUAAGAAAUAUCCCCUGUAACCUAGAGACAAUUUCCAUCUAAUCAUUCAGAUUGACUUUGCAUGAAAUUUUCAGUUCUUGACCUCUGUUUUGUAAAUAUUAAGGCAAGAUUUUGCGAAAUACUUUAUCAUUGAAGAACGACAUCUUGUGAAAUAAAACAUUUCUAGCUAUGGCACAUUUGUUUUAUGUAUAUGACAUGCUAUGUAAAUUCUUUCAUCUUAUACUUGAUAUUUGUUUUAUUAGCUUCACAAUGAACUAAAGAUAUAUACAAAGUAUCAUUGUUAAAAUAAAAAAAAAUCACUAAGUAAUCUAUUAUAUUUGUAUGCCCAACAAAUUCUGACUUUGGUUGUUUUAAGGACAUGAUGAACUCCAAAAUUAUGCAAAAUGUCUCGUAUAAUCAUAAAUGGCAAUACUUAAGCUGAUUAGUAUAUUGUACGAGACAUUUUGCAUAAAGGCCCUAUUUGUUUUAGCUUGUAUACUGUGGAAAGCUGCUUGUAGAUUAUAACAAUAUGAGGAGAGUCGAUUUGGAUUGUAAUAAUUUGGCCUAGGGAUUUUGACAACCUGGAGUGAGAGACUAGUUUGUUUGCAAUUGUGAAAGCUAAAUCCGCAAUCCUAAGCUGAACCAAACAGGGCCCACAAAGUUUGGGGUUUUGCUUUGGUAUGCUUGCUUUAUGUAAUUAUGAUGACAUCAGCAAUUUUUCUGACCACUUAGUCUGCUUGAUACUCAUCAUGUUUCUGGAUUCUGGACUAAAUACAGGAGUAUGUUCUUGUGCUGGACAUCGUCUGUCACAGGUUUGUUCAAUUGAAGGAGGAGCAUAAAGAAUUGAAAAAAAAAGACACAUUUUCAUGUUGAAUUAGAAGCACUUUUUGUACCUUCAAAGAUUUAUCGAGUUGACCAGCAAGAGCUCGCAACAGUGUGCUUUUUCCACAUCCUGGAGGUCCCAGUAGAAGAGUCAAUCUGCAAGCAUAUUAAAGUGACACUGCAAGCUUCAUAUCUAUCAUGAUAGGCAUUCUGAAUAUUCUACUUUCCAAUACCUAGUCUGGCGCUAAGAUAAUAUUUGUACAUCAAACAGUUUACAAAAAGACGGAAUUCUUGGUGUUGACAUACCUGCAGGGUUUUAUGACUCCGCUCACACCUUCUAGAA